ensembl:lncRNA
GAAUCAGGAUGCUUAAGGGCAGCAUCUGGGAGUGAGUAUUUCUAACAAGCACCCAGAUGCUUCUUUCCAUAGCACACCAAGACUGAGAAUGACUCCUGGCAAAAACUGAAGAACUUCCAUUCCAGCUGACCAACGGAGCUCCAUUGCUAUGGCAACGUGCUUGACAGCCAUUUAGAUGCAAUGUGCUCUAAUGUGACCACCGUAUGGGAAGCACACUACUGCUCAGAGGUGUCAAAGAAGUCACAGUUGAAAUAAUCAAGCAGUGCUCCAGUUGCUAUGGGGGAGCUUCACUCAGCACUGCAAAGUGAUUUGCUGAGUACGUGCCUGCGUGCAUGCUCAAUCGCACAGUUGUGUCUGACUCUUUGUGACCCCAUGGACUGUAGCCUGCCAGACUCCUCUGUCCAUGGGAUUCUCCAGGCAAUAAUACUGGAGUACAGAAAACACAAAACUAAGAGCUUUUAAGAGAUCAGAACAAUACAGAAAACAAGAAUUUUGCCAUUGAAGAAUUUAAAUCAGAUGGUCAGUUUGGAUCUAUUGGGGGAAAAAAUGAAAAGGAAAUUCAUAAUAUUCGUUCUACUAAUAUCCUGAGAUCUGUAAGCAAGUAAAAGUAGGAAGAAAAGGCUACAAUUAAAACCAUUUUCAAAAAGCUAAGUUGUGGAGUUUUUCCCUCCUAUGCUUGUAAGAUUUGCCAGAAUCCAGCCUAUUUUUAAAGACUCUGGAAACCUACUUAAAGUGGUUUCCAGAGGAUGUGGCCACAAAUGGUGCCCAUGCUACAUCAGAUACUGAAUAACGUACGUGUGGAUCUGGGCAACUAUAAGGGGAAAAUUUUCAUCAUGAAAGAGCAAAUAAAACUGGUGUGCAUGAAGUAACAGUUUUAGCAUCCACAUUAGUCCCAGAUGUUUUUCCAAAGGGACUGAGUUUUAUUUGAAAGCUGAGACAGACCAAGGUUUCUAUUCCCUCUCACCAUGCCCUUAAUACAGAAAAGUUAAGCCAAUUGAAUAACAUGUGGAUUAAUUAAUAUUUCCAGGUUAUCAGUGAAAGGCAAACUCUCUUUUGCAACACCAUGGAGCCUCAAUCAUUUUCAGUAAGUUCAGGUAUUUUCAAGGGCAAAAAAAUACAAUGACUAGAUGGAAAUAAAGAAUAAAGGUAUCUCCCUUAGGUGGUGCCCCGAAUCAGAAAAGAGAUGAGAAAAUCUGUAUCACAAACCGACAGCUUUCAAAACAAGAAUGAGUCUUUAGGCUCUUGAAUCUCCCAAGCUAGUAAGUUUAGGUAGACAAAAGAGGGAAGGUUGGCUAUAAUUACACUGGAAGAGACUCUCAGAAAUCAUAGCAUCAUCC